GUCCGUUCUCGCUGUUUGUUCCGAUAGCGUCGUAUAUCGUAUUUUGUUGCUUAUUAUUUUUUCGUUCCCUUUUCCCUCAUGCUGUAAAUCAUCACGCCUUUUGUGUUAGAAGAGAAGUGGACAGGUGCGGAAAGAAGAAAAGGCCGUGAAAGUGUCUUUGCAGAAUGGCUGCGCCCUUGGAGAAUUGCUGUCUGAAAUGACAAACUUUCAGCGACUGGUUGAGCCAACAAGUGUUCCAGACACUCAUAGAAAUGCCAAUCCAUCCAAAGGAGUCCGGAAGAUCGGCACUGGCAACAUGCUUGUGACAUGUGACGGACAGGAGGGGGUUUUCACUGCACAUCCCAGUGCCAGGAACAUGUGCCAGGCAGAGGACGGCAGGCAGCACCGCUUAUGCCAAACUGUCUCUCCACGAACAAGGUUGGGAAUAUGAAUUACCUGACUGGCAGUAGUCGUUCUGCUUGGCUGACAGCUGUCAUGAACACACGGGAUGGAUGGAGAGAGACAGAGAGGGAUGAGUCUGUCAGUUCCCCUCCCUCACUCCCUCCCCUCCUUCUCUCGAGGCAUUUCACUCCUUUAAGCAGUUGUAUAAUGAAGAGCUUGCGGUCCUUCCCGUUUAACACAGGGCACUGGAGCAGGCAUUGUGGGCCACUGAGUUUCUCACUCUUUUGCAGACCAUCUACUUUGAAACUGUAUUUCACCUCUAGCCAGACAACUGUAGGGAAGGCACUUUAGGUUAAUUCCCCCAAAUCACUGGGUCUCUGUGGUUAUGUCAACACAUUACUGUUUGAGACAGACAUAUCAGAGUUAAAUCAACAAGUGGUGUUAGUUUGGGACAGAAGGUUUGUCUGAAAGAUGUUGGAAACAUGUUUGAAAUAAUAAUUUUUUGCAAUUGCAUUUGAUUACACUGUGGGAAGUAUAUGGGUGUGGGUAGUGUUUGGAUGCUUAGUAGGGUCCAGUGAGCCUAUUUGUUGGAUUGUUCUCAAAGGGAUCACAAAAAUGAAAAUUGUCACUACUUACCUCAUUUUGUUCCAAGUUCAAGUCUCUCUUGAUUCUGUGGAACAUAAAAUAAGGUACUUAGAAAUCUUUUUAACAGCACUAUAAAAACAGACAUUUUUCAAUUUCAAAUAAAUGCUGCUUCUUUGAACUUUCUGGUCAUCAUAGAAUGGUGAUCAUGGUUUUCACCAAAAUACUAAACAGCACGACUGUUAAGAGUAAGUAAAUACUUCCUGCGCACACAAUCAGUGUAUUAGA